ensembl:lncRNA
CCAGGGCCUCCUGUCAUUCUAGACAAAUACAACACGCUCUUCGGCUCACUUCGGCAGGCACAGAUGUCCCCUUAGAGGGCCCGGAUGUGUACACACCCAGGGUCAUGUGAGGGUGGCUGCCACUCAAGCUACUUCUCAGAGGCAAAGUGCCUCUUCUUGGGCUGAAACAAUAGUGGAGGUAUCAGGUAUGUGUUCCAGCACUGGAAAGCUGACAUAUGCAAGAUCUCAAAUAUGACCCCAAUCCAUCUUUUACAGAACACAAUCAAUGCAGAUUUCUACAGAAAACAUUUAGAUGUGGUGAUUGACUGCUUGAGAAGAUAGUCAAAAGAAAUAAAUCCUGCUUGGAUAGACCUCAUUCCAAGACCCUGGACUUAAUUAAAUAUGUAAAAUGUUUCCAUGUACUUCAGUACAUGGUGGGUGUGUAUUUCUGUACAACCAAGAAGUUUAUCUUAAUAGCAUGCUAGCAAAAUAAAGGUAUUCUAAC